rnacentral:rRNA from 1 species
AACGAACGCUGGCGGCAGGCCUAACACAUGCAAGUCGAACGCCCCCGCAAGGGGAGUGGCAGACGGGUGAGUAACGCGUGGGAACGUGCCCUUUGCUACGGAAUAGCCUCGGGAAACUGAGAGUAAUACCGUAUGUGCCCUUCGGGGGAAAGAUUUAUCGGCAAAGGAUCGGCCCGCGUUGGAUUAGGUAGUUGGUAGGGUAAUGGCCUACCAAGCCGACGAUCCAUAGCUGGUUUGAGAGGAUGAUCAGCCACACUGGGACUGAGACACGGUCCAGACUCCUACGGGAGGCAGCAGUGGGGAAUUUUCCGCAAUGGGCGAAAGCCUGACGGAGCAAUACCGCGUGAGGGAAGAAUGCCUAUGGGUUGUAAACCUCUUUUUCAGGGAGGAAUAAAAUGACGUGUACCUGAAGAAUAAGCAUCGGCUAACUCCGUG